rnacentral:rRNA from 1 species
GACGAACGCUGGCGGCGUGCUUAACACAUGCAAGUCGAACGAUGAAGCUAGAGCUUGCUCUGGUGGAUUAGUGGCGAACGGGUGAGUAACACGUGAGUAACCUGCCCCGAACUCUGGGAUAACUGCUGGAAACGGUAGCUAAUACCGGAUAUGACCAAUGAAGGCAUCUUCUGUUGGUGGAAAGAAUUUCGGUUCGGGAUGGACUCGCGGCCUAUCAGCUUGUUGGUGAGGUAACGGCUCACCAAGGCGACGACGGGUAGCCGGCCUGAGAGGGUGAUCGGCCACACUGGGACUGGGACACGGCCCAGACUCCUACGGGAGGCAGCAGUGGGGAAUAUUGCACAAUGGGCGCAAGCCUGAUGCAGCAACGCCGCGGGAGGGACAACGGCCUUCGGGUUGUAAACCUCUUUUAGUAGGGAAGAAGCGAAAGUGACGGUACCUGCAGAAAAAGCACCGGCUAACUACGUGCCAGCCGCCGCCGUAA